AACGAACGCUGGCGGCAUGCCUAACACAUGCAAGUCGAACGAGACCUUCGGGUCUUUUGGCGCACGGGUGCGUAACGCGUGGGAACCUGCCCUUAGGUUCGGAAUAACUCCCCGAAUGGGGUGCUAAUACCGGAUAAUGUCUUCGGACCAAAGAUUUAUCGCCCUUGGAUGGGCCCGCGUUGGAUUAGCUAGUUGGUAGGGUAAAAGCUUACCAAGGCGACGAUCCAUAGCUGGGCUGAGAGGAUGAUCAGCCACACUGGGACUGAGACACGGCCCAGACUCCUACGGGAGGCAGCAGUGGGGAAUAUUGGACAAUGGGCGAAAGCAUGAUGCAGCAAUGCCGCGUGAGUGAUGAAGGCAUUAGGGUUGUAAAGCUCUUUUACCCGGGAUGAUAAUGACGGUACCGGGAGAAUAAGCUCCGGCUAACUCCGUG
rnacentral:rRNA from 1 species